UCUGCCGUGGGCGUUGGAAGAUUGAAGGGGGCUGCUCUAGUACGAGAGGACCGGAGUGGACGAACCUCUGGUGUUCGGGUUGUCAUGCCAAUGGCAUUGCCCGGUAGCUAAGUUCGGAAUCGAUAACCGCUGAAAGCAUCUAAGCGGGAAGCGAGCCCUGAGAUGAGUCUUCCCUGAUACUUUAAGUAUCCUAAAGGGUUGUUCGAGACUAGAACGUUGAUAGGCAGGGUGUGUAAGCGUUGUGAGGCGUUGAGCUAACCUGUACUAAUUGCCCGUGAGGCUUAACCAUACAACACCC
rnacentral:rRNA from 1 species